CUUUGAUGCUUUGUUAUGCUUCUCAGAUCUGUUUGUUAGUUAUGUGUAGAGAUUUUGCGGUCAGUACUGUUGUUUACUCCCCCUUUGUUAGCUUCGUGUGUUGAUCCCCCCGCAGCUAUUCAUGUAUUUGUAUUCGAUUGUCUUGUUUGUGGGAUUGAAAUCCGCCUGCUAUGUGUGCUAGUUCCCCAGUAGGAGUGAUUUGAUUUGUUAUUGGGUUAGUUGGUGGGAGUUAAUUUGAUUAGGCUGUCUCGUUUAGUUGUAGUAGUUUGUGUAAAUGCUCAAUUCGAAGAUGCUAGAUCAUGUUCAGUCCCCUGGUCGUUUGGAUUGUCAUGCGGUUUUUUGUGUGUGGAUAUAGGUUGUAUAUACCCUGGGCCAUUUAGUUUUGUGCUGUUGCUCUGAAUUCAUGUUCCAUUUUGUAUAGAGUUGCAGGUAGUGUCAGUGUUGUGUUUGAAUAUUCAGAAAACAAACAUAGCUUGGAGUCUCAGUCCUAUUUUCAGGCAUGGUUGUUUGCAGUGUAUAUUUUUAGUGUAAACCUCACUUAGUCAUUACUUACAGUGUUUUUUACACUGUUAGUAAGUGGUUUUAAUGUGUGUGUUUUUAGUGUGUCAUCAGUGCUUUUUUUUCUUGUAUUCCAAGCAUAAUCUUGUCUCAAUGUUAAGAGUGCUCCAGAGUGUUUUUUUUUUAAUUUCAGCAUGGUCUUUGUGUAAAUGUGAGAGUGCUCCAGAGUGUUUUUUUUUCUUUCAUUGAAAUUACUUUGUGUAUCGCAGUGUAAUUUUAGUGUUUAUUUACUGCAACUUGUUAGUGAACUCGCGGUGUAAAUGUUAGUGUAAUUUUAGUGUUAUCAAUAGUGGAAUUAUAGUGUCAAAUCUCAGUGGAAUUUUAGUGUUAUUUACUAUAUUUUUGUCAGUAAAACUACAAUGCAAAAUGUAGUGUAAAUUUAGUGUUAUUUACUAAUCCCUCUGUCCCAAAAUAAGUGUCUUUGAUUUAGUACAAAUUUAGUUCAAAGUUGUACAAAAUCAAAGACACCUAUUUUGGGACGGAGGGAGUAUCUUCCAAGUGAAAUUAUGGUGCGAAUCUUAGUGGAAUUUUAGGUUAACUACUCUUUCUCAUUUGUGAAUUUUACACUGUAAUUCAUAGUCGAUUCUUUAGUGUAAUUACUCCAUCUUAUCAUUGAAUUUACUCUGUGAUUUGUAGAGGAUAUCUUAGUGUAAUUAGUAUAUCUUAUUAGUGUAAUUACCUGUAGUGUAGUUUUACUCUAGCUCUAUGAUUUUGAUUUACACUGUAAAUCCUACUGGAAUUUUAGUGUGGUAUCACCGUAAUUUUUUAGUGUAUUUACUUUGUCAUGUCUUUUGAAUUUAUACUGUAAUUCAUAGGGCAUUUUUUAGUGCACUUUACUCUAUCUUAUCAGUGAUUUUACACUGUAAAUCUUAGUGGACUUGUAUUAUAAUUAAUUAUUUUAUCAUUAAAUUUACACUGUAAAUCAUAGUGUAAUUUUAGUGUGAUGUUCACUGUAAUUAUAGUGUGUGUUUUUGUGGUCUUUUGCUAUUAUGCUAGAGCUAUGCUUUGUCUUGGGUUGCAACUGCUAGUCGUUUUAGUUCAUUCUUGUUUUGCUUAUUCGUAUUCUGUUGUUGUCAUGCUUUUUGUGCUAAUGAGUUUUUGAUAUUUUGCAGGGUGUGUGGAAAGUUGCCUGAUAAUUUUUGUUAGUCCUACUUUUCCCAUGUUGUCUAUGUUGGGUAACAAACUAUCCCUUUAGAUACUAUAUUUUUCUUUGGCGGGCGCGGAGGGGGGGGGGGGUGUCAAUGUUUUACAGUGAUAUGUUCUUCGGUUUGUAGGCGUUUAUGUGUUAGGAAGAGGGAGUUGCAUGUCAGUUCAAAUUCUUAGGGAAAUUUACAGUAGAAUUACACUGUAAACCUAUUGUAAAUAACAUUCUAAUUCAACUAUAAUACUAUUGUAUUUAUACUCUAAAUCUAAUGUAAAAUGUCACUAGGAUUCAGCUGUACUUAUAUUGUAUUUACACUGUAAUUCUAGUGUAAACUAAAAUGUAAAUCUACUGUAAUUACUGUCAAACUCACUGCCCAUUUGCUCUAUAAUACUAUUGUAUUUUACACUGUAGUUCUACUAUAAAAUACAUUGUAUUUACACUGCAGUUCCAGUGGUUUAGCACUGGAAUUACAAUUUGCUUACACUGUAAUUCCAGUGGUGUAGCUAUGUAAUUCAAACUGUAAUUACAAAGGAUUUUUCACACUGGUCCACUACUGUAAUUGCAGUUUGUCUGCCAUUGUAAAUUCCUUGUCUGCGAGUGUAAUUUAAUUUGACAGCAGGUUCUUUUUCUGUUCCUCUGUAACUACAAUGUAAAAACACUUGUUAGAUUUUUCUUUUGUGUAGGAUUUACUCGUCUGUAUAUGUUGUAACAUCCAGUGAACUAGUGAAUGCUAGUUCUUAUUGGUUUCUCUGCUGAUCUCUGGAUUUUAAGUUUAUAACUAGAGUACUCUGUGGAUUGUGAUCUGUUCUUUCUCUUUGGUAGACACCCGCUGCUCAAAGUAGAACAAUAUUUUUUGCAUUAACUAAUGAAAAUUUUCGCAGGAUUUCUGUCCCUGUUGUUUUAUAUGUAAUUUUCACAAUGAUAGUACCUUGUACAUCAUUUGCGCCUGAAGUAGAUGAGUAAAAGAGUAUGCCCCCUAUUUUGUCAAGAAUCAAGUUAGAAAAGCAUGAUUGAAUAUGUUUGUUCAUUUUUUCCAGGUUUUUUAAUGCUAUACUAAAGUCAAACAUUAAGGAAAUCAGCUUUGUCAUGUUCGAGAAGAAGAGGGUGUUUAGCUGUGAAUCCUGUGCCUCUUCAGCCAUGAUCUUCUUCAAGCUUGUCUCCCAGAUCGUGGAGGAAACGCCAUCACUUUUUGCUUUUCUGUCCGGGUUGGAAAAGGACGGGGGUUGGACCCGUUAAGUUCCUAUUUGACCUGUGCGGCUUGUUUAAAAGUGGGACAGGAAAAUGGACAUACAGGAUACAAGGGACAGUGAACAGUUGUCACAUUCUAGAUUGCUGAAAAAUCCGGCUGAAACCCAAUUGGUUUUCAGCCGGAUGUCAAUUAGACAGUCCCUAGAUUAAACAUCUCACACAAGUUUACCAAAUUCCACGGAAAUAUAAAGUCAGC
rnacentral:rRNA from 1 species